CCCGCCCCCGCUGCGACCUGGAGAGGCGGCGCUGUAGCGGGGCCCUGCCUCUCCACUGCGAAAUCACCCCCAGCCCAGUGAUGUGGACCAUCUUGGAAAGAUGAGGAGUUCUCCAAAGUUGGCUUUUAUUUAUUUAUUCAUGAGAGAGAGAGAGGCGGAGACACAGGCAGAGGGAGAAGCUCCCCUGCAGAGAGCCGAUGAGGGACUCCAGGACCACUACCUGAGCCGAAGGCAGAUCCUCAACUACUGAGCCACCCCGGCAUCCCAGUCCUUAUUUGUUUCAGUAGCAUGGUGGCCGAUCUCUGUUCCACAUCUGUUCACCCCACCACUCUUCAUGCUAACACAUAUUUCCUGAAAAAGCCCCUUCACCACCCUCCUCUGGUGGUUGGCCCAGGAGGCUGAAGUCCAGCUUGUGUUUUAUGGACCAGAAGACCCUUCACAAAUUCGUCCCUGAUGUAGCUGUUCCCCUUACAUCUCUCUUCCUGCCCUAGUUGGACACCUGACCUUUGUCACACCCGCUUGACACUGGGGGAGUCCCUGGAUGUAGUCAUGAAUGAAGUACGGGCUUUAUUUACACUGUAGAAUGGUACCAUUUACUGAUGGUCUGUUUAAAGAACAGAGCAGAAGGAGGAGCCUGGGCUCCCAGAUGUCUGCUGCUUGCAGAGUAGAGCCUGGAGCCUCUUCUCACUUCCGAGCACUUCGGUUCUUUACUGCCCUCCAUCUGUUCUCUUCCUUCUGCCUGGAGUGUCCUUUCUUCCACUUCUGGUAAAAUCAGGCUUAAUGUUCAAGGUGCCGCUCAAAUGUCAACCAUUUAAAUCUUUUCCUUUUAGACAGUUGGUUUCCUUUCUGGGUCAUCAGAGUGCUCUAUUCAUAGCUCCAUCAGCACUGCUAGAACUUUCCAUGUGUGUGCUGGUCAGCCCCAACAGU